AUCGAUAAAUCCUCUCUUUAUCGAAUCUAAAUAGUCCUAAGAACUUCAUCAUCACAACGGAGUUCAUUUGAAGAUGAAAGCUUAUGAUGAAAAUACCAAAUAUAUUUUAUUUAUUAACAAAUCAAUUAUAAUAUUUGAUUGCUCAACCAUCAACAGCUUGAUGAUUGGCUUUUUGGGACACAUUUCCCAAUAGAUCUGA
rnacentral:lncRNA from 1 species